UCUUUUGAUUGGACAUCGUCGACGAUAUGCUUAAUGAUGAUAAAAUACUGUGUUAAAUCUGGAUAUACAAAUCGGUGAAAUAGGAAUCGUUUUGCUUUUUAUAUUUUCUCCUGCACAGAAUAACAUGAAUAAUUUGUUUUGCUAUAGAAGACAAAGGAAAGGACGAAAAUUUCGCAUGUGAGUUGAAAAUUUGAAAGCGAUGUCAGUACAACCAUUAUUUUUAUCUAUCAAAAUGCAGGAGAAACUUAUAAGUGUCUAUUUGAAGUGGAUAUUAGGUCAAACUGCUCAAACUGGAUGGAUUCAAAUCCGAGAGGACGCGACCAACAGCGAUUUAUAUAGAAGGUUUAAACAAUUCAUAGGCUUGGAUUUGGAAGAAGACAGCAUCAGAAUCAUCGUUAACAGUAGUGCGAUUCCGGCAGAUCAUUUACUAAUCAACGACUACAAUAUCAGGGACGGAUCAACCGUUUUGGCCGUGAUGAGACUAAGAGGUAGCUAGAUCAUCAUGGCGUCAAGCGAUGACGUCAUAUCUCCACACAAAGGGAGGACUUUCGCCAGCGAUGAUUUGAAGUUCGCUUUGAAUUUUGUUGAUCUUCGCACAGUGCUUUUUUUAAGAAGCCUUUCUAGAUAAAACCUAUGUAGAUUAAAAGGUUUUAAAAUUUACUUUUGUCUAUAGAUCUUUUGAUACACUCUUUCUUUUCUGUUAAUGUAUCCAUAUUGUAAUCAGUACAAGUUAACAGUGUGCUUUUUGGAACAUUUUGCAUUAAUAUGGUGUAAAAAAUAGUACACUGAAAUACUGCA